rnacentral:tRNA from 1 species
UCCCUGGUGGCUCAGAUAGUAAAGCGUCUGCUUACAAUGCAGGAGACCCGGGUUCGAUCUCUGGGUUGGGAA